AGGGCCUUCGGGGCAGAGUCCGGCCGGUGGUGGCGCCCUUCGCCCCGCCCAUAAUGGUGGCCGCCUCCGUGGCUGGUUAGAUGCCUCACCUCUGCAAAUAGAAUUGGCCUAUUUCCACGUUACUCUGGACUGUGACUCCUGAGAAAACAAUGCUGAUGACAGAGGUAUUUUUUGCUGCCUUCUACACAAGACUAAUAUGAUACAUCAGUGACUGCAGGGGAUGUUCUGGCAUAGCAAAGUUGGCAGAUAAUUCUGAUGUGCAGAUGGAGCUACGUUUGUAUUGUGAAGAACAGGGAGUACACAUCGACACAAGUCUGUCAUUAAUGUAGAACAGAACGAGAAUGCAGGACUAUAGUUUAGGCUAGACCUCAUCCGUUAUGGAGAGCUUCAGGAAAUCUGCUGGUAUGCUUACGUUGAUAGACUUUUCUGUGAAGAGUCCCAAUGAAUAGCAACACUGUCUAUUAUUGCUUUAAUGUAAGGAGUGAAAAAUGGAGGAGAAUGAAAAAGGUGAAUUCCUGAAGAUUUUCUUCUGAACCUACGAGUUGGCUCAAUGUGGAGAUGAUGCAUUUGGCACAGCGCUGGCAGCAAUCACGUGCUUGUCCCCUUCCAUUUUUUGGUCAAAAAGCUGUUCAGCAGUGAAUCUGUAAUUCUCCCUAGGUGCUUAAGAAUAAUGGACACAUGGUACUACACAGAACUUUGAUGGAUUAUCUUCAGCAGAUAUCUUCAGAUUUUAGUAGGCAUCAAACUGUGUGUUAAUCUGCAUCUACAAUUUAUCCUGAGAGCUAAAGCAAACAUUUGUUCUCUGGUAAUUUUCACAACUGAUUGCUGCAGCUUUUUGUUUUUUCCACUCUAGUUUUGACUUUGGCCAUCCAGCUCUAUCACCAGCGCCAUUUGAAAUUCCUCCUGGGUCUUCUCCUUGGACCUCUGUAUCUAAUUCAAACAGACCUCGCCUUUUAUCCCUCUAAGCCACUCUUAGUGCCUUUUCUGUGUUUGCUGUGUCUAUGUCAGGGAUUAGUUUUUGGUGAUAUUCCUCAAGGGUAGCAGAGCCUUGGCCAUGCUUUUCAACCACUUUUUGCUCUCAAUUAAUUUCUCUUUAAUCCAAAUGUGUACUAGAAGGUAAUUAAGUUUCACUGUUUGCUUUUCGAUCCAUUUCUGAGUUUCUCUGUGUAGCAGUUGAAAUGUACCCUUAAACUGAAAACAGCCUUCUUCCUUUCUUUUAGUGUUCCAUAUGUUUUCAGCAUUCCAGUGACUUCAGACAGUGUAAGGUAGCUGAAAAAUACAAAACCG
ensembl:lncRNA